GGAUGCAUAACAUCAAAACUCACGUGUAAAAGAAAUGUUUGUUUCUCUCCAUCACAACAUAGGAGAACACUUCAUUUCCAUCUAAUCUUUACUUUGAACAAAGAGUUUUUUCUCUCUCCAGCUCAAUUCUCUGUUUAUGAUUUCCAUCUAAUCUAGUCAAAUGCAUAACUCAAAUCAAAUUUAAUGAAAUGUAAAGAGAAAAUUCAUGGUGGAGCUUAACCCGAAUGAUUUUUGCUCCAAUUAUGUCAAAUCGAAUUUUCUUUUUUCAUUUUUUCAGUUCAAUCUAGGGUUUAAGAUAUGGUUAUGAUCCUUUUGGUCUCAUCAAGAAGCCAGAAGACUUCAUCUAAUAUCAGGCAUAUAAGCUGAUCCACGCCAGAUGGGCUAUGCUCGGUGCUGCUGGAUUUAUUAUCCCUAAAGCCUUCAACAAAUUUUGUGUCAACUAUGAUCCUGAGUUUGUUUGGUUCAAGGUAUAUAUCACCAUUACAUCAAUUGCACCUAUCUUGAUUAUUUAAAUGUGAGAGAAGUCUUGAAUAUAAAAUCUUGUCUCAUGUGUAGACUGGAGUUUUACUAUGUGGGAGUACAGUGGGUUUGUUGUUGUUGUUGUUGUUGUUGUGUAGACUGGAGUUUUACUUCUAGAUGGAAACACGUUGAACUACUUCAAAAAGAACAUUUUCAUCAGUCUUGUUCUAACUGUUGUCGUCGAGGUUGUUUUUGUUGGUGGUGCUUAGUACUACAAAAUUAUUAAUGGCGUGGUGAGCCCUCCUAUUAUUACCAUAACAAUAUUACUUCUUAGGAUAGAAAGUUAGUGGGGAGGAGUACAUCCGUAAUAGUAGGAAAUGGGAAGAGUGAAAGAAUAGUUUCAUUGAAAUUGCACUUAUUGUAUGGAAGUUUGCAACCAGAGUUGCUGGUUCAGUCCUUGCAGUUUUAGCACUAAUCAUUGGAAAGGUUAAGACUACGGAUAGUAGACUUGUGAUCUAAACUAUUCUCGAACCUACGGUAAUAACAAUAGACUCUUGUCAUGAGAGAAAAGAGAGUGUUUUCUUAACUAUUGUUAAGUUAUUUGGUUAAUAAAGUAAAUCUAGUCUAUUAAAAUUUUAAAGUGACAGUUAAUUAGGGAGCCACUGAAGAAAUUGGACUGUCCAAAUCCUGUAUAGCAACAUUAGAUAUGCUAGAAACAUUAGAUUUGCUGGGACUAUCCAAAUCCUGUAUAGCAACAUUAGAAACUACCUAAAUCCUGUAUAGCAAACUUGUAUUUCGGAAAUAACAUCUCUAUACUUCUCACUUCUAAAGGUAGAGAUAAAAUUUUUGUACAUUCUACUUUCCUUAGAUUUCACGUUGUGGAUUACUGGGUAUAUUAUUAUUGUAUUCACAAAUUUAAAUAUUUUAUUGGCAUAACAUUCAAAAGAAAGAAAUUAAAUGCACAUUGCAUCUAUAUAAGUAUAACAAAUUAUAAUGAAAAUAAUAUCAAAAAAUAAUUUUACUAUUUCCAACACAAAAAUUAUGGUGAAAUCUAUAGGAUCCCAUCACUCUUUAACUAGAGGUCUCGAUUAUGAACUCUGAGUAUAGAAACAAAUCCUUUUGAACCACUGUCUCCUUAAAUGGGACUUUUGCUACUGGAAUCCUAAUUACUCGGAGAAUAUGUAUGUCUUUGCGCUACCUUUUUCAGUUCCAUAUGACAACUUUUUGUAGGUCACUGAAAACUAAAGAGGUGUCAUCAUUUUAAGAUAUUAAGAGGUAGGCAAAGUUUGGAGAAUCUCUCUUUUAUUUAAAUUUUGCUUCAUUUUGUUGCCAAUAAUUUUCUGAUUGUAAGCAAUUUUGAGAUCUGCAUACUAUGGUACGGAAACAUAUUCUGAUAUCUUGAAGCAAUUUUGAGAUUUGUCUAUGACCGAAGUGCUUCGUCUUCUUGAAAUACGGAAGAAAAUAAAUUUGGCAUAGAGUGAUGUUUCUAGCUUUUGCUUAGAUACUUGUUAAAAGAAUUAAAUUAAUUACUCAAUUAAUCAGUAAACUAAUAUAGCAUAGCAGUGAGAUUGAAUAAAAGGGAAUUGUUUAAGUUGCAUAGAAUUUUAAAAGGGAAAACACAAUAAUUCAUAUAUCCCUAGAGCAUGAUUAACUUUAAAGUCAUCAAGAAAGAACCAGAUCUAAACUCAUGUGCAUAAUGUCUUCGAUUUUCUUUCUCUUUACUUAAGGGACAACUUUCUUCUUAGUCUUUGGAUCACUUCUUACUCUUUUCCUAUUUUGAGAAAGCGCUUCUUGUAAUCUUGAUAAUGGGACAUAUUGUUCUCCCAUUUUUUUUAUGGUAAGUGGCGUUGUAUCUUCUCUGGAGUGCUCACCAAUUUCUUUUAAAAUAAAUGUAGAACUUCUCAAUUGUUCUUGAGGUACCCUUUCCUGAUUAAGUUGUUUGACCUAAAAGAUACAGAAGAGAAUAAGUUAGUUAAGGUCCAAUAUAGACAACAAGUGUAGAAAAAAAGAAAGGUAAUUACAGUUUGCUUUGUCACAAAUGAAGAACUAGAUUGCACUGAUGCCAUAUUGCCAGUACUAGUGUUUGAAACCUACAAUAAAAUAACAUUUUAGUAUUAUUGCUCUUGAUGAAGAAAAUAAAGCAAUAUAACCACUUACUUUUGUUGCAUUACUAGGUGCCGAAGGACUUUUCUUUUCACCUUGCUGAUGGAUAUGUUGAUGUUGAUCCUUAGAUUGGUUUCUUGCCAUAAGAACGAGGCACUUUCUACUAUUAUGCCCUAAAGUUCCGCAUGAUCCGCACUUCUUUUUCCUACCCUUACUUGAUGCUUUUAACAAAGUGAGCUUUUCAGAAUCUGAUUCUUUUUGAGUUGUCUCAUCAAUUCCUCUCUUUCUUGA